rnacentral:lncRNA from 1 species
GUUUAACUCAUUCGGUAAUUGAUGUUUGUCUUUAUUGAUAUGGGGACGUACAGUAAUGACAUGAACUGGUGAGUAAUUUCUUGAUUUUGCAAUACCACCUAGGGAUAUGGGUAGGACGAUCAAUUGCGCUAACUUNUGUUUAUAAUGCGGUAUUAAUUGCUAGGGGAGGCUAGGGAUAGCAAGCCAAUAGUUAAUAUUAGGCUUUUUUCGCNGAGGGAUCGGGUAAAGGGGAGGCUAAGAAAGUCGCAUAACAAUUAAUUAAUCAAACUAAUAUUCAAGAGGAGUAGGUAAGAAAGAGCGGAUUAGAUGAAAUUGUAACCCCCAACAACAUCCAUCCAUCCAUUGUUUUCUUUUGUCAAUUGAAUCAACUUUAUUUUGCAUGUUAAUAUUUGUGUUCUCAAAUCCAAUUUAUUAAUUUUUAUUUUCAAGUCUUAUUAUUUUAAUUCACGUGAACGAGAAAGUCAUUCGAGUCCCUUGGGAAAACGAUACUUGGUCUUACCAUUUUUAUUACUUGUACGAUUUGGUACACUUGCCAAUUUGUCAACAUCUAGGUCCACCUUGCUUCACUUCCAUCUUCAAUUCACCUUAAAACCCUGCGAAACAAUGUAAAACAAGCAUAAUAUCUCUAAAACCAACUUUUGACUCUCACAAGACACAACUAAGUGUUUUACUUGACUUAAAGCUCAUUCUAAGCCAUAAAGGGUGUGUUUUACUAUCAAAUUUAAGUAUGAAAAUAACGGUUUUUAGACUGUUAUCACUGUUGUUGUUGCCUCUGAUUUUUCUGUUGUGGCUGGCUGUUAUUGUAGAUGUUUGGAAUAUAAGCUUGAGGCUCAUGAAACUGCAACUGUUGUGGUUCCUGGACCGGUGGAGGCAUACAAGGAGUCUGGAAUGAUGGUUCCUGAUAUUGAUGCUGUGAAGUAGCU